rnacentral:rRNA from 1 species
CUACAAAGGAAUUGACGGGACCCGCACAAGCGGUGGAUGAUGUGGAUUAAUUCGAUGCAACGCGAAAAACCUUACCUACCCUUGACAUGGUCGGAAUCCCGCUGAGAGGUGGGAGUGCUCGAAAGAGAACCGGCGCACAGGUGCUGCAUGGCUGUCGUCAGCUCGUGUCGUGAGGUGUUGGGUUAAGUCCCGCAACGAGCGCAACCCUUGUCCUUAGUUGCUACGCAAGAGCACUCUAAGGAGACUGCCGGUGACAAACCGGAGGAAGGUGGGGAUGACGUCAAGUCCUCAUGGCCCUUAUGGGUAGGGCUUCACACGUCAUACAAUGGUCGGAACAGAGGGUUGCCAACCCGCGAGGGGGAGCUAAUCCCAGAAAACCGAUCGUAGUCCGGAUUGCACUCUGCAACUCGAGUGCAUGAAGCUGGAAUCGCUAGUAAUCGCGGAUCAGCAUGCCGCGGUGAAUACGUUCCCGGGUCUU